rnacentral:lncRNA from 1 species
AUUUCCCCUUGAGCUUGUGUGGAAUUUUCUUGUCACACAGGACCCCUGAAGCAAGCCUCCACUUUGACCACCCCGCUCCUAUCCGAUGGGUGACGUCUCCGUCAAUCUCUCCGUCCCUCUGAAUCACAGACCCAAGAUAUCGGACACUGACCGUCUUGGAGAUGGCCUGAGAACCAAGCAUCAUUUCCCUGCCUACCCCACUCGGCUCGUCGCCAAACUUGCACUCCAGAUAUUCUAUCUUAGAUCUGCUUAUUUUGAAACUCUUAGACUCGAGGGUCUGUCUCCAUAUCUCUAACCUUUCACUAACACCGGCCCUCGUCUCGUCUAUCAAUAUUAUAUCAUCAGCAAAGAGCAUACACNNN